rfam:Novosphingobium pentaromativorans TS6-1 contig00009, whole genome shotgun sequence.
CCGGGGAGCUGGGCAGCCGCGUCCUUUGUCAGGCUCUUCAUGGGCAUGGCAUAGGCCGAGGAAAGUCCGGGCUCCACGAAACAAGGGUGGCGGGUAACGCCCGCCGGGCGACGCUCGCGCAGGCGAGGGGAAGCUUAGGGACAGUGCCACAGAGAGCAGACCGCCGAUGCCUCUUCGCGAGGCAGGCAAGGGUGAAAGGGUGCGGUAAAAGCGCACCGCGCUUCCGGUAACGGCAAGCGGCAUGGUAAACCCCACCCGGAGCAAGACCGAAUAGGGGCUGCUGGCCUUAGGCUUUCGAGCCGAAAGGCGGGUCGGUUUCGGACCCAGGCAGCCCGGGUUGGUCGCUGGAGCGGCGCGGCAAUGCGUCGCCGAGAGGAAUGGCUGCCGCCGCGGCGUAAGGUCCCAGUCUUGGGAGACCACGCCAGGCACAGAACCCGGCUUACAGGCUCCCCGGCAAA